rnacentral:lncRNA from 1 species
AGUUUCCUUCUUUCUCAAUUUUCGCCAUCUGAAGUGGAGAAUAUUGGAGAUGAGUUUCUAUGCCGCUUUGUACUACUUACCUUCUGUGAACAAAUUAACAAGGACACAUGAACCAUAAUGUUCUGACGGACGUUUUAUAUAUUGGCUAGGCUUUACUUUGGCAAUUUGGUGAUGUCUACUCUGGUUAUGAAUUCUUUACAUUUCGGAAUAGUCGUUUCAGCAACUAUGCUUCUUGAUUCCUUUGUCAAAGCUUAGGGUGAGGUUAUCACAUACUCCACCUUUUAUCUUUGAGUGACUUAUUUUUUCCGGUGUUGAAGUUUUUUUUUUUGUGUGUUUCUGUAUCUGUUAACUUCAGUUUUACUCUGUGGUUUUGCAUACAAGCUUUUAGAGUAACACUUCCCUUCCCAAGAUGAGUUUUGGACAACUUGGUAGGUGCUGUUUGUUAUGAUGAUUUGUUUGUUGCGGAUCAAUUGACUACAGUGGCCCUAGGACUCCUCUGGUAUUAGGUUGAAGCUUAAAUUGUGACAUUUCGUAUGAUUACAAGAUAUUCCAAAUUGGACCGAAAUUUGUUCCAAUGAACUAUCCUGUUCUGCAGGCUGUGUUCAAUGCCUUGUUUGGUCAUCUCUACUAAUAAAGACUUCACAGUUCCGAGACUUGUUAAGAUAAAACCAGUAACUUGUUUUUGGCAAGCAAAGGUUAACAUACUAUCAUUCAAUUCAGUCUUGCGAUCAAACCAGUAAUUUUUUCACAUCUGUUCGUUUUGUGAUUGGGGAUGUUUGUCUUUUGAUGGUGUCUGCUAGUGUUGGUGUUUUUUGUUUUGUUUUUGUAUCAGCUGCAUGAACAUUGAUGCAGACAAGAUUCAAAGUAUAUCUCUUUGCCCUCACCAAGGAUGAGGAAUUCUGAACAGCUUGGUUAUGGCUUUCUCUUGUUCUGUUAAUUUAUUACUUUCCUUUGUUAUGAUUCUUUCACUAUUUUCUUGUCCCUUGUGACAUAUAAGAAUAAGACUAUGAAUUCUCACACAAAUGGGUUUUUGUCACAGUGAGGAAGCCUAAAUUAUUGUCAUUUCACAUGAAGCACCUAUCUGCAAUUAGAUGUAUUCGCAUUGUUACGUUGUAUGCUAAAUCAGUGGUGAUCUCCACUCUGACUAAGAAUUCUUCGCGUUUCUGUCUCUUGAGGAUCUAGUUUUUCUUAAUUUCCUAUAGUUUCAUGUAGGUGUCACAAGAAGGAUAUAGACAGCGAGAUGUGCAACAUUGUUACAGAGGAGAUAGCCUAUGAAUGUAAUGUGGGUAAAACUGGUCAUUUUUAUUUAAAUGUACUUUUUCUGGAUUUGAGUAAUUGUCAUUUGAUGGUGUUAUGUGGCAAUGCUCAUUUCAGUUUUUUAUCAGAAAUUUGAGU